GGGAUCUUGCGAAAUUAACAGCAAUGAAAAUGGCGAAACGAAACUUGUGAAUCGUGCAUUUGCUCUUCAUGGUAGCUGCCAGAAAAUCGAAUCAAACUUACGGGACACUGGAUUACAGGUUGCUGCCACUACUCCAUGUGCCCGCAAUUGUCUUGCGUGUAUGAUUACACUUAUGUCGUCGCCCACCACGGCGGAAGUGUUUUGCGUACACGCGUUUCAGCAUGAAGCCUGCAGGUGGAUGUAAAUUGUAGAAGGCAGCUAGUGGGGGAGAAGAUCAUGGUCAUAGGUCAUGUGACUCCUGGAGCUCCCAGUGGGCUCCCUUGUGGAGUACUCUUCAGAACACACACACACACAGUUUGCUCACAGAACCAACGAGUAGGAUGUUGCUUGAAUACUGAGAGAAAAUGGCGUAACACAUACAAAUAUCGUGUGACACAUAUGACAAUAAAAACAUUUUUCACGAGGGA